GAUGAACGCUGGCGGUGUGCCUAAUACAUGCAAGUCGAGCGAACAGACGAGGAGCUUACUCCUCUGACGUUAGCGGCGGACGGGUGAGUAACACGUGGAUAACCUACCUAUAAGACUGGGAUAACUUCGGGAAACCGGAGCUAAUACCGGAUAACAUGUUGAACCGCAUGGUUCAACAGUGAAAGACGGUCUUGCUGUCACUUAUAGAUGGAUCCGCGUCGCAUUAGCUAGUUGGUAAGGUAACGGCUUACCAAGGCAACGAUGCGUAGCCGACCUGAGAGGGGGAACGGCCAAACGGGGACUGAGAACCGGUCCAGACCCCUACGGGAGGACGCAGUAGGGAAUCUUCCGCAAGGGGGGAAAGCCGGACGGAGAAACGCCGGGUGGGUGAAGAAGGUCUUCGGACCGUAAAACUCUGUUAUUAGGGAAGAACAAAUGUGAAAGUAACUAUGCACGUUUUGACGGUAACUAAACAGAAAGCCCCGGCUAACUACGG
rnacentral:rRNA from 1 species